UACGAAGGUGGCAAGCGUUGUUCGGAUUUACUGGGCGUAAAGCGCGCGCAGGCGGUCCUUCAAGUCAGAGGUGAAAGCCCAGAGCUCAACUCUGGAACGGCCUUUGAGACUAGAGGACUUGGGUACGGGAGAGGUGAGUGGAAUUCCGAGUGUAGAGGUGAAAUUCGUAGAUAUUCGGAAGAACACCAGUGGCGAAGGCGGCUCACUGGCCCGUUACCGACGCUCAGGCGCGACAGCGUGGGGAGCAAACAGG
rnacentral:rRNA from 1 species